rnacentral:rRNA from 1 species
UUGCGGUUAAAAAGCUCGUAGUUGGAUCUCGGCAAGUAGAGGGCGGUAUGCUUCGUAGCAUUACUGCCCUAUUACUUGUAGUUUUGCCAGAGGUUCCUGGGUGCUCUUAAUCGAGUGUCUAGGGAUGCUGGCAGGUUUACUUUGAAAAAAUUAGAGUGCUCAAAGCAGGCUAUUACGCUUGAAUAUUCGUGCAUGGAAUAAUAGAAUAGGAAGUUGUUUCUAUUUUGUUGGUUUUCGGAAAUCGACUUAAUGAUUAAUAGGGACAGUCGGGGGCAUUUGUAUUCAAACGACAGAGGUGAAAUUCUUGGACCGUUUGAAGACAAACUACUGCGAAAGCAUUUGCCAAGAAUGUUUUCAUUAAUCAAGAACGAAAGUUAGAGGUUCGAAGGCGGUUAGAUACCGCCCUAGUUCUAACCAUAAACGAUGCCAGCUAGCGAUCUGAGGACGUUUUUUUUGUAGACUCCUCAGGAAGCUUCCGGGAAACCAAAGCGUGUGGGUCCCGGGGGAAGUAUGGUUGCAAAGCU